GGUAGCAUGACGUAGUGGUUUGAGUGUUGGACUGUGAUUCUGGAGACCAGGGUUCGAUUUCCCCACUCCACCA